GAUGAACGCUGGCGGCGUGCCUAAUACAUGCAAGUCGAGCGAACAGACGAGGAGCUUGCUCCUCUGACGUUAGCGGCGGACGGGUGAGUAACACGUGGAUAACCUACUUAUAAGACUGGGAUAACUUCGGGAAACCGGAGCUAAUACCGGAUAAUAUAUUGAACCGCAUGGUUCAAUAGUGAAAGACGGUUUUGCUGUCACUUAUAGAUGGAUCCGCGCCGCAUUAGCUAGUUGGUAAGGUAACGGCUUAUCAAGGCAACGAUGCGUAGCCGACCUGAGAGGGUGAUCGGCCACACUGGAACUGAGACACGGUCCAGACUCCUACGGGAGGCAGCAGUAGGGAAUCUUCCGCAAUGGGCGAAAGCCUGACGGAGCAACGCCGCGUGAGUGAUGAAGGUCUUCGGAUCGUAAAACUCUGUUAUUAGGGAAGAACAAAUGUGUAAGUAACUAUGCACGUCUUGACGGUACCUAAUCAGAAAGCCACGGCUAACUACGUG
rnacentral:rRNA from 1 species